ensembl:lncRNA
GCUUUAACUAUGCAAUGAGAUGUUUCCUCUGUCAUAUAUAUGCACUUAUUAAGCUCUCAUUGGAUUCUAAUAUGCAUGCAAAUAGUCAAGAGUUUCUUAAGGCUAAUACUACACUAUGUAGAUUGUAGUGCCAUUAAGUCACUACAAAGAUGUAGCCCGCAGCAAACUUAGAAGGCUCCUUUUCCUGUGAGUGUAGGCGAGGCUCUAUUUCUCCUUUUUGUGCUCUGCUUAAACCUAAAGGAGGAAUUCCCUCUCCGUAGCUUCGUUGCCUUUCAUCUGACGGAUACUCCACGCGACAGCGCGUUUUAAGGCUUUAUCCUUACAGAACUAUCCCAAAAACGCACUUGUGCUGUACAAGGAAGAUUGCAACGUUCUCAAUUCAGCAUUUCCAAGUCGGUUUGUAAUCCAUCCCCACCCCUACUCCUUCCUCCGCGCGGCCCGUUUGAAAGCCCCCGGUAUCUCCUGUGUUUCUGCAUGUUCUUUUACAGUACGGCGCUGUCAUUUAAUUACGAGACAAUCCACCACAACUGAGCAAGCAUUUUCAUCAUUGAUAAUGUUGGUAGCAGGCAACUGAGACAAAAUGAUUACAAACCUAUGUUGCGCUCAAUAGUCCUUUAGAGGAUUUCUCUCUUAAUAGCGCUGCCUCAUUCAUGUUUGGUUCAGUACAUUUGUUCUUUAAAAAAGGCAUAGAUUAGAAGAGUUUCAGGGUAGGUUAAUAACUCAACUGAAAAUGGCUGCUCGCAUUGUCAAAGUCUGUUCCUGCAGUUGCCUGGUGCUUUCUUCAGUUCUUCCACACUGCAGCUUUGGCCCAGUUGGUAAACAGCUUAAGUCCAGACAUCUUUUCAUUCUCUGCGCAGCGGAUUGAAAUAAAAAUGCAUAUAAGUGGCGACUGACUGGCGCUGGCCUGACAAUAGCCUGUAACAUUAUGCAAGGGUAUUUACAUAGGAAUAAGGCCUUGGUAAAGAAGACAGGGGCAAUUAAUGACUAGGGCCACACAUAUAAGGAAAGUUUGUCCAAUCCUUUCUUCAAUAAAGAUCUUUUGUAAAGUGCUAUGGAAACUCAUGGAGGCCCCCAAACAGAUUAGGAGAGGGACUUUUGUGGUGUGUUUUUUGUUGUGUUUUUUUUUUUUUUUUUUUCUUUUCUUAAACUUGAAGCUAAAAGGGCCAAAUUCUGUAAAGGUAAAAUGUAAUUCUUCUGCAGUUUAGGUUUUUUUUUUUCUAUUGUGACUCCCCCACACCGCCUUUUUUUCCCCUACAGGAACCAAUUGAGCGCAGCUACUUUCACAGGAGGAAGCACGGGAGAAAAAGAAAGCAAGCAAGUAGUGUACCUCCACCAGGGAGCACGGUGGAGGCACAGGGCUUGUAGGAGACCUGUCACGAAGCUUGACUCCUUCUGCUCACACAGGUUUGGCAUUUAAGCUAAUUUGUAAGCAUUUAGGGCCUGACUCUGAUCUCCCUUUCACCGCUGACUGGAGCUGUCAAAGCACUUCCCAGCAGAAGUAAGGGUUCAGCUCAAGGCUUGUGGAUACCAAUGAGUCCACUUCUAUUUCCCUAGGGGACACCAGCCCAAAUCACCACGAGCCAAAGACAGCACAAAAAUCCUAGUCAGUGAGGCCUGUUUCAAUGGCCAGUGAGGCCUACUCUAGUGAGUCUCAGGCUUGAGACUUGCAUGGCCCUGCUGAGGACCUCAUUUUCCAUGGCUGGCUAUGGUACAUCUGUUGAUGGCAACUUGAACAUGUCCACACCAGUUAAGCAGUUCCAUUUUCAGGCUCAGACAUUGGUGUUCAAAGACUUUGUUCUUAUUCUAAUGACUGAUAGAGGACCUCUGUUUGGGUUGAUGCUGCAGUCUUUUAAGCACACUUUCCAGAAAGCUGUAGGUCUCUAUUUUGAGAGCAGAGCAGAGAUCCUACUGCUGAACCCAUCAUAUAUAUCCAAGAAGACAACACUUUGGUGGACAUCAACACAUUGAAAUUAAUGUCAAUUUAUGGCAUUGCGGAGCACUCUGACAAGAGCUGGCUUCUCCAUCAACUCAAAGUGCUGUGCUGGAGUGCAGCAUCCCAGUGGGGCAGCUGGACAAGCUUGGUGGCUUUGGGAAAAACCUCA